GAUGGCCCUUACACAGAACUAUGCACGGCCUAUUAUUGAGGGGAUUGAGGGAGGAACAUCCUCAGAUGUUCUUCCUUCUAGUAAUGUGCAAUCAUAUGUUAAAGUAGUGGAUGGUGUCUUGACCCUCUUGGAUCCUGAACAACAGUCAUUAGAAUCUGUUAUCGCGGGGCCAUCCACGACACAGGAGGAUGAGGAAACUGUUUCUGUUUGCUCAGAAAUGCU